GCUGCGAGUGAAGCGGGAAAAGCUCAAAUUUAAAAUCUGGCGGUCUUUGGCCGCCCGAGUUGUAAUUUAGAGAAGCGUCUUCCGCGCUGGACCGUGCACAAGUCUCCUGGAAUGGAGCGUCACAGAGGGUGAGAAUCCCGUCUUUGGCACGGACGCACGGUGCUUCUGUGAUGCGCUCUCAAAGAGUCGAGUUGUUUGGGAAUGCAGCUCUAAAUGGGUGGUGAAUUCCAUCUAAAGCUAAAUAUUGGCGAGAGACCGAUAGCGAACAAGUACCGUGAGGGAAAGAUGAAAAGAACUUUGGAAAGAGAGUGAAACAGUACGUGAAAUUGUUGAAAGGGAAACGCUUGAAGUCAGUCGCGUCAACUGAGACUCAGCCUUGCCUUGUCGUGUUGUACUUCUGGGCCUGACGGGUCAGCAUCUUUUUUGCCCCUCAGAUAAGGGCAAGGGAUGUGUGGCACCUUUACGGGUGUGUUACAUUCUCCUGUCGCAUGCGAUGGGUGUGAUUGACGAACUCAGCCUGCACCUUGGUGUCCGACCUUCUGCCCACUUCCACGCUUACGAGCUGGCGUAUGGCUUUACCGACCCGCUUGAAACAGGACC
rnacentral:rRNA from 1 species